CUAACCCCCGGUUCCGUUUUUGAAACCAGCCGUUGGAUAUCGCUGGCAAUUUGACGCGCAGGAUUAAAACUGAACUUAGGACGUCAACUUAGGGUCGUCCUAAUUUAAACUUAGGUCGGCCGAUUUUGAACUUAGGACGUCCUAAUACUUCUUAGGUCUUCAUUUUGAACUUAGGACGUCCUAACUUUCUUAGGUCGUCCCCAAAUCCUUUGAACACCUUCUGUUAAAGUUAAGUCUUCAGCUCUUGAAACUUAGGUCCGUCAAGUUGAACUUAGGGUCGUCCUACUUUUGAAACUUAGGACGUCCUAACUUUUUUAGGUCGUCCAGCCACUUUCUGUCCAACUUAGAUGUCAACUUAGUACCUCCUAACUUUUAUGUCGUCAUCCAAACUUUCUGUCCAAACUAGGAUGGUCACUUAGGACCUCCUAACUUGAACUUAGGCGUCAUCCAAACCUGUCUGUCCAAAUUCGGAGGUCCAUUCAAACUUAGAUGUCAGCUGCACACUUAGAUGUUCAACUUUUCGGACGUCCUAACUUGUGAUAUUUGCUGCACUUUUGGGACAUUUCCUGUUCUUUCUACCAAACACAAUCGUUAAUCAUAAUCAAUUGAAUGGAGACUUUUGUUUUGAAUCCUCUAUAAGUUCUAUGAGCAUUGACCAUUCGUUUUGCUGUGAACACUUAUGGAUUAAUAUGUAACCACGAGUUUCGAACGAUUGUUUUAGUUGACAAAGUAUGUCCUGCCAUCUUGACUGUGCUAAAUCCUCUUUAAAAUUAUUUUCAAAGUAUAUUUAAACAUUUUAAUAUAUAUAAGUUUUAAUCAUCAAAAUCAUUAAAGAUUUAUGCUACAAUUUUUUCUAUUUCUAUUUUCUACUUCUAUUCUUAUUUCUAUUUCUGUUUCCAUUUGUUUCUCUUCUUACUUUUAUUUUGUUAUUUCAAUUAGGUUUUAGUUUUUUUUAUGUUUUCAAUUUUAUAUUCUCUUUUCAGUUUUUAUUUCUAUUUCUAUUUUUAUUCUUUUUUUAUAUUUUUAUUCUAUUUUUGAUUUAUGUUUUAUUUCUUUUUUUUAAUUUAUAUUAUUAAUUUUUAGUUUUAGUUUUGUUUUUAGUUUUUAUUUUCUUAAUUUUUGGUCCUAUCUAUUUUAAUUUUUUAUUUUCUGUUUCUAUUCCUGUUUCUAUUUCUAUUUCUAUUUUUGAUUUUGAUUUUUAUAUUUUAUUUUAUGUUUCUAUUUAAGUUUUCAUAUUUUUUAUGUUCUCAGUUUUUAUUUUUUAUUCUAUUUUCUUUUUUUCUUUAAGACUAUUUUAUGUAUUUUUUUUGAUUAUAUUUUUAGUUUAUAUUUUUUUAUUUUGUUGUAUAUUCUCAUGGAUCUAUUUUAUUCUCUUUUAUUUAUAUCUCUAUGUCUUUUUUUGUUUUCAUUGAUUGUUUAUGUUCUCAAUUUUUAUUUCUUUUUAUGUUUUCAUUGUCUUCUAUGUUCUCAAUAUUUAUUUUUAUUUCUACUUUUAUUUUAUUUCUAUUUUCAUUUCUACGUAUUGUUUUCCAUUUCAAAUUUUAUUUUGUAUUUUAUAUUUUUAAUUUCUAUUUCUAUUUAUGUUUUAAAUUUUAUAUUCUCUUUUCAGUUUCUAUUUCUAUUUUUUGAUUUUUUAGUUUCGGUUUUUAUUUCUAUUUCUAUUUUUAGUUUUUAUUUUAGUUAUUUAUUUCUAUUUUUAUGCUAUUUUUGUUUUAUGUUUUAUUUUCUUUUUACAAUUUAUAUUAUAUUUUCUUAUUUCUCUUUUUUUUUUAGUUUUUAUUUUCUUAAAUUUUGAUUCUAUCUAUUUCUAUUUUUUAUUUUCUGUUUUUAUUUCUAUUUUCGGUUUCUAUUCUAUUUUUGAUGUAUGUUUUUGACAAUUUUAUGUAUUUUUUAUUGUUUCUUUUUCUCUUUUUGUUUUAUUUCUAUUUUUUAUUCUAUUUCUGUUUUCUAAUUAUAUUUUUAGUUUAUAUUUUUAUUUUCAGUGUUUUUUAUAUUCUCAAAUUUUACUUUUUUAUAUACCCUUUUUUUAUUUUUUAUUUAUUUUUAUAUCUUUUUAUGUUUUCAUUGUUUUUUACAUUCUCAAUUUUUAUUUUUUAUUUUUUAUUUUUUAAUAUAUUUAUUUUGUUUUUAUUUUGAUUUUAUUCCUAUUGUUUAUUUAUAUAUUUAGUUUCUAUUUUUAUUUUCAGUGUUCUUCUGUUUUUAGUUUUUAUUUUUUAUUUCUAUAUCUAUUUUUUAUUUUCUGCUACUAUUCAUAUUUCUUUUUUUAUUUUAUGUUUCUAUUUCUGUUUUUAUUUUUAUUUUUUAUUUGUUUUUAAUGUUUUCAUUGUUUUUUAUAUUCUCAAAUUUUAUGUUUUAUAUUUUGUUUUUAUUUUUAUUUUUAAAUUCAAUUUCUAUAUCUAUUUUUAGUUUUUCUUUCUGUUUCUAGUUUUUAAUUUUAAUUUUAAUAUUAAUAUUUUUUAUGUUUUUAUUUUUAUUUAUUUUAUUAUUGUUUUUCUGUUUU
rnacentral:lncRNA from 1 species